rnacentral:SRP_RNA from 1 species
UCAGGUCCCCCGUGCGGCGGUAACUCGCCCAACCCCCCCAGGGCCGGAAGGCAGCAAGGGUAAGUGAGCUCUUCCGGGUGCGCGGGGAGCCCCCAUUUC